rnacentral:rRNA from 1 species
CCUACGGGAGGCUGCAGUGGGGAAUAUUGGACAAUGGGGGCAACCCUGAUCCAGCCAUGCCGCGUGUGUGAAGAAGGCCCUCGGGUUGUAAAGCACUUUCAGUGAGGAAGAACGCCUGGUGGUUAAUACCCAUCAGGAAAGACAUCACUCACAGAAGAAGCACCGGCUAACUCCAUGCCAGCAGCCGCGGUAAUACGGAGGGUGCGAGCGUUAAUCGGAAUUACUGGGCGUAAAGCGCGCGUAGGUGGCUUGAUAAGCCGGUUGUGAAAGCCCCGGGCUCAACCUGGGAACGGCAUCCGGAACUGUCAAGCUAGAGUGCAGGAGAGGAAGGUAGAAUUCCCGGUGUAGCGGUGAAAUGCGUAGAGAUCGGGAGGAAUACCAGUGGCGAAGGCGGCCUUCUGGACUGACACUGACACUGAGGUGCGAAAGCGUGGGUAGCAAACAGGAUUAGAUACCCGUGUAGUC